GGGUUGUGAGGUUAAGCGACUAAGCGUACACGGUGGAUGCCCUGGCAGUCAGAGGCGAUGAAGGACGUGCUAAUCUGCGAUAAGCGUCGGUAAGGUGAUAUGAACCGUUAUAACCGGCGAUUUCCGAAUGGGGAAACCCAGUGUGAUUCGUCACACUAUCAUUAACUGAAUCCAUAGGUUAAUGAGGCGAACCGGGGGAACUGAAACAUCUAAGUACCCCGAGGAAAAGAAAUCAACCGAGAUUCCCCCAGUAGCGGCGAGCGAACGGGGAGCAGCCCAGAGCCUGAAUCAGUGUGUGUGUUAGUGGAAGCGUCUGGAAAGGCGCGCGAUACAGGGUGACAGCCCCGUACACAAAAAUGCACAUACUGUGAGCUCGAUGAGUAGGGCGGGACACGUGGUAUCCUGUCUGAAUAUGGGGGGACCAUCCUCCAAGGCUAAAUACUCCUGACUGACCGAUAGUGAACCAGUACCGUGAGGGAAAGGCGAAAAGAACCCCGGCGAGGGGAGUGAAAAAGAACCUGAAACCGUGUACGUACAAGCAGUGGGAGCACAGAGCAAUCUGUGUGACUGCGUACCUUUUGUAUAAUGGGUCAGCGACUUAUAUUCUGUAGCAAGGUUAACCGAAUAGGGGAGCCGAAGGGAAACCGAGUCUUAACUGGGCGUUAAGUUGCAGGGUAUAGACCCGAAACCCGGUGAUCUAGCCAUGGGCAGGUUGAAGGUUGGGUAACACUAACUGGAGGACCGAACCGACUAAUGUUGAAAAAUUAGCGGAUGACUUGUGGCUGGGGGUGAAAGGCCAAUCAAACCGGGAGAUAGCUGGUUCUCCCCGAAAGCUAUUUAGGUAGCGCCUCGUGAAUUCAUCUCCGGGGGUAGAGCACUGUUUCGGCAAGGGGGUCAUCCCGACUUACCAACCCGAUGCAAACUGCGAAUACCGGAGAAUGUUAUCACGGGAGACACACGGCGGGUGCUAACGUCCGUCGUGAAGAGGGAAACAACCCAGACCGCCAGCUAAGGUCCCAAAGUCAUGGUUAAGUGGGAAACGAUGUGGGAAGGCCCAGACAGCCAGGAUGUUGGCUUAGAAGCAGCCAUCAUUUAAAGAAAGCGUAAUAGCUCACUGGUCGAGUCGGCCUGCGCGGAAGAUGUAACGGGGCUAAACCAUGCACCGAAGCUGCGGCAGCGACGCUGAUGCGUUGUUGGGUAGGGGAGCGUUCUGUAAGCCUGUGAAGGUGUACUGUGAGGUAUGCUGGAGGUAUCAGAAGUGCGAAUGCUGACAUAAGUAACGAUAAAGCGGGUGAAAAGCCCGCUCGCCGGAAGACCAAGGGUUCCUGUCCAACGUUAAUCGGGGCAGGGUGAGUCGACCCCUAAGGCGAGGCCGAAAGGCGUAGUCGAUGGGAAACAGGUUAAUAUUCCUGUACUUGGUGUUACUGCGAAGGGGGGACGGAGAAGGCUAUGUUGGCCGGGCGACGGUUGUCCCGGUUUAAGCGUGUAGGCUGGUUUUCCAGGCAAAUCCGGAAAAUCAAGGCUGAGGCGUGAUGACGAGGCACUACGGUGCUGAAGCAACAAAUGCCCUGCUUCCAGGAAAAGCCUCUAAGCAUCAGGUAACAUCAAAUCGUACCCCAAACCGACACAGGUGGUCAGGUAGAGAAUACCAAGGCGCUUGAGAGAACUCGGGUGAAGGAACUAGGCAAAAUGGUGCCGUAACUUCGGGAGAAGGCACGCUGAUAUGUAGGUGAAG
rnacentral:rRNA from 1 species